AUUGAACGCUGGCGGCAGGCCUAACACAUGCAAGUCGAGCGGAUGAAGGGAGCUUGCUCCUGGAUUCAGCGGCGGACGGGUGAGUAAUGCCUAGGAAUCUGCCUGGUAGUGGGGGAUAACGUCCGGAAACGGGCGCUAAUACCGCAUACGUCCUGAGGGAGAAAGUGGGGGAUCUUCGGACCUCACGCUAUCAGAUGAGCCUAGGUCGGAUUAGCUAGUUGGUGGGGUAAAGGCCUACCAAGGCGACGAUCCGUAACUGGUCUGAGAGGAUGAUCAGUCACACUGGAACUGAGACACGGUCCAGACUCCUACGGGAGGCAGCAGUGGGGAAUAUUGGACAAUGGGCGAAAGCCUGAUCCAGCCAUGCCGCGUGUGUGAAGAAGGUCUUCGGAUUGUAAAGCACUUUAAGUUGGGAGGAAGGGCGGUAAGUUAAUACCUUGCUGCUUUGACGUUACCAACAGAAUAAGCACCGGCUAACUUCGUG
rnacentral:rRNA from 1 species